GCCUGGGUGGCUCAGUCGGUUGGGCGGCUGACUUCGGCUCAGGUCAUGAUCUCGCGGUCCGUGAGUUCGAUCCCCGCCUCGGGCU
rfam:Felis catus isolate Cinnamon breed Abyssinian chromosome E1, whole genome shotgun sequence.